GGCUUCAUGGUCUAGUGGUAUGAUUCCUGCUUUGGGCCUAGCGUACUCAAUCUGCAGGAGGCCCCGCGUUCGAAUCGCGGUGGAGCCC